UAUAUUUAACGAUUAACGAUUUCCAAGCUGAUGACCGCGAUUGCGGGCUGCGCGUAACCGUGUCGAUAAAACGAUAAACGUGGUCGUCUGUUACGCCGAAAACAAACGAAUUCGGAAAGUGUCGCACCGCUGUGCGUCGGUGAGCCGCGCGAUUCGGUUCCGAUGGUCAGCGACAAGUCCGACCGGGUCUGCGCAAGAGCCGGCACGAGUCGUCCUAGCGGACGUCCGACCCGAAAACAAUCCGUGGUCCGAGAUGGGAGUUGGGAGGGGGGAGGGGGGUUGCCGGUGCAGCGGGACGAACCUCCUAUACCGUUCGACCGUCUC